rnacentral:rRNA from 1 species
UACAGAGGGGGCAAGCGUUGUUCGGAAUUACUGGGCGUAAAGGGCGCGUAGGCGGCCCGCUAAGUCGAACGUGAAAUCCCCAGGCUCAACCUGGGAACUGCGUCCGAUACUGGUGGGCUUGAAUUCGGGAGAGGGAUGCGGAAUUCCAGGUGUAGCGGUGAAAUGCGUAGAUAUCUGGAGGAACACCGGUGGCGAAGGCGGCAUCCUGGACCGAUAUUGACGCUGAGGCGCGAAAGCCAGGGGAGCAAACGGG